GGGGUUGUGGCUCAGUGGUAGAGUGCUCGCCUAGCACAUGUGAGGCCCUGGGUUCAAGCCUCAGCACCACA
rnacentral:tRNA from 1 species